CUUAGACCUCAUGACAGAAGUAAUGAUCUGAGCUGCCGACAGAUGCUGAGGAGAGUGGAGACAUGGAAGCUGUGCUAGGACUGUGUCUGAUGUUGCUCAGAGUCUCUCAUGGUGUGGAGACUCAGUGUGACGGCAGACAGGAUGGAGCUCAGUGUUAUGGAGCUGUGGGAGGAACUGUGGCCCUCCAGCUGAUGGACAGCGUUGUAGGACUAGUUAGAUACAGAUGGACAUUCAACAACACAAAAAUAAUACUCAAUGGGAGAAAGAAUACUCCGGUUAAUCUGACAGACAACAGAUACUCCUUCACUCCCAGCAAUGGAACAUUUAGGAUGAAUAACCUGAGAAGGAGUGAUGGUGGUGAAUAUACUCUGCUAAUAUUUGAUUCCAAUGGUACGAACACAGAGAAGCGAACUCUAAAGUUGGUCGUUCAAGCUCCUGUGUCCUCUGUCCGGCUGGUCUCUGAACGUCUGUCUCAGGGAGAGAUGAGGGUGUCCUGCCUCUCUGAAGGAGGGGACAGUCCUCAGUACAGCUGGACUCUGGAUGGACACACACUGACAGAUGCUGAGCUUCUCACUGGACAUAAUGAAACUAACAACAUCACUCUGAAACAGCAUGUUUCAGGACGUCUGGCCUGCUCAGUCAGGAAUCAUGUCAGCAGUGUCUUUGCAGAUGAAAAGAUAUCUGCCUUUAAAGAUCCCGCUCUGCUCAUAUGUGGCAUGAUGUUUGCCGUGGCAGUUAUUUCAGUGAUUGGGAUUUUCAUCUUUUUUCAUUUGAAGAAGAAGAAAUACAAGCAAGGUGAAGUAGCUACCAACCCGAGAGCGAUGGAGCCUUCAGGGGACUCCUUCUCGGCUGUUGAACUGAGGAGUUCAUCUGAUCAUUAAACUUUUUUCCUGUCAGAUUUCUUCUGUCAACAUAUUUACAGUUAAUCAUUUUUUACCAGUGUAAAGACUAAGGUUUGUAUUUGUAUCUCUAUGUGUACGUAUUCAGUACAACUCAACUUCAAUGAUCGUGGGGGGAUUCCUAUGAUAUUUCUAGCCUCUCACCUUGUGGGUUGUUGAUUCAGUGAAAGUGAUAUUACCCAUUUAGAGUUAAAUGUAUUAAUAUCAUCUUUAUCAUAAUAUCAGCUGAUUUUACAAAUAUAACUGAUUAUAUUAUUUGGAUUUCUUUCACUGUAGAUUGUUAUAUGUUGUGUUUUUUUAUAGCUCCACAGCAAUAUUUUUUGUUUGUUUUCUUACAUUGUUAGAUUUGAUCAAUAUGUGUGUAUAUAAAGUACCAGUCAAAUCUUAUCACACUUUAGAAAAGUGUGUCCAAAUACAUUGUAUGUAAAUUACUGGUCUAUUCAUGAAGGUAUUUAGGGUGUUGGAUUUAUAGAUGAGGAUUGAUUUAAUGAAUCAUUUUGUUUUUUGUUGAAAGUCUGUAAAAACAAAACAAAAAAAAAAAAAAGCGUCUUUUUGGCUCCAAUCUUCAUAGUCAGUGAUGUAAACAUACUUUUUAAAGCAUUAAACUUUAAUGAGUUUAAUGAGCUUUGGACUCAGAAUCUACAUCGCAGUGAAGAUAAAACAUUUCAAGCUCUGUCUCAUAAUUGACUCGUAGGCAACUGGACUCGUAUUUUCGUCUAAGAAGACAUUGAAGAUGUUUCGCCUCUUAUCCAAAGGGCUUCAUCAGUUCAUGUUGGUUGGUCUACUAGCCGCACUAGUCUGACCACAGCAGUGGAGAAGGACCCAGAUAUUUAGCCUCUGUGGGUGUGUUCACCAAAAAGUACCUGUGAAAGUACUGGUUUCACUUGGCCAUUGUUGUGGUAACAUGCGAACGACAGUCGUUUGGGUCAGGUUUGUUAACCCUAACCCUAACCCCUGGUGAACGACGAUCGCUGAGAGUCGUCUGAGGUUAAGUUGUUAAUUCUCCUGGGUACAGAUGGAAGGGCGAUAUAGUACAUGGCAGAGAUAGGUUGUGUCACAGACCCCCUCCCCUGUUAAGAGAGGCUUCUUUUACUCCUCUCUCAAACCAUCUGUCCACUCUGUACAAGAUCUUGACAUUGCUCUCUUUAUAGGAGUGUGCCUUUUCCUUUAGAUGGGAAUAGACAUCCGAGACAGGACCGGAGGAGUUUGCCCUUCUGUGUUGGGCCAUGCGUUUGUUUUAAGGCUGUUUGGUCUCCCCAGUAUAUAAGUCCUUGCAUUCUUCACUGCAUUGGACAGCAUUUACCAGAUUGCUCUUUUGGUUGUGUGGUAUCUUGUCCUUGGGAUGUACCAGUCUUUGCCUAAAAGUGUUACUGGGUUUGAAACUUACAGGGUCCUUACUUACUCCUCCUGAGUUUUUCUGAGACCCCAGACACGUAUGGGAUGACAAUCAGAAACUUUUCAAGCUGCUUCCUGCGAUAGAAACAUCAUGAUCCAGGCACCUUCCAUACACAGUAUAACUGUGAUUUUAAAAACCCAGUUUGAUGUCAGAACACAUCUUUACUCAUUGGAUAAGGAAGUGUUUUGGUAGUUUAAAAGAUGUAACUAUCUAUCAGACUCUUUGGAUGUGACAGCAGGUUGUUUUGUAGUUAUAGUUUAACACGUCCUGUCAUUAAAA
ensembl:lncRNA